AAAUUGUGUAAAAUAGUAUUUUUCUUCAUCAUCUUCAUUAAAAUAACUUUAUAUCUUUGACUUUGUAGAUGAAGUCCCAACUGAAAUAAAGUUAAUGACUGACAAAAGAUCUGUCGAAUUGUACCUUAAAUUACUUGAGUCAGGAUCUGAGAAAAAAGAAGACAUACGUUUAGUAGUAGUUGGAAAGAAAGGGGCGGGAAAGACUUCAUUGAUUAAAAGAUUGUUUGGUGAAGAUAAUACAGAUGUUACCAGUACAAAUGGAAUAGAAAUUCAUAAAAUAAAAUGCAAAGCAAUGUCUGAUGAUGGAAUAUGGAAUAAAUUAGAUGG
rnacentral:lncRNA from 1 species